rnacentral:lncRNA from 1 species
GGGAGUAGGGGUGGGGGCGCUGGACGCAGACCACGUUAGAACCUCGGCUCCUGGAGUAGCAGAACCUCGGCUUCAAUGGGACCCUCAUUUCAUAAAUGAAGAAACUGAGAUUCAAAGAGGGGAACUACCGAAGGUUACAGAGCGAGUUCGUGGAUGGGGAAACUGAGCCUCACAUGUAUGAAUUCCAGCAUAUAAGCAACAGACUCCAGAUUUGGACAUGUAUAUCUUGUUCCAGACUUCCCAGAUGACCACCAAGGUGGAAGGGAUGAUGAUGUCCAGGCAGAAGGGAGCUAGGCCGGCCCAGGCUUUUCCUCUAGGCACAGCGGACUCCAGGUUCAGCCUUCCCGGAUGAGGUGCAGAGUGGUUGGUGACUUCUCCUGGGCCAUGAGGACAGUCAGUUAAAGUCCUGGCUACCUCUCCCUGAGCCCACAUAUCCUAUGGCUUCACGGAAGGUCCCACCUCCCAAGAAGGGGCUAGUGGCAGGGAAGUUGAGAAACAGAGAGACGGAAAGGUGGCAUAAAACCAAAGAGGGGGACACUGGAGAGGAGCCGGCAAGAGGCCAGGCUGGGGACGUCAGAGAAGAGGAAAACAGAGAUGAAGCCACAGGCCUGGGGACAAGGGAAGAUGAGAGACAGGAGAUGGAACCCCUUCCCAGACCUGGUGAUGAGGAGGAGGCUCUGAGGAGUCCUAGCCAGGCCCCAGAGAAGCCAUUCCCUUCCUUUGACAGAUGCCACCUGUGUACGCCCCUGCCCGCGAUGAAGUUAACAAAUCACCACCACCACCCUGCCCUGGCCUGGUUGCUGUUGACGUUCAGUCUCCAGGAUGCAUCAUUUUCUUGGAUUUUAAUAGACAAUUGCCUCGGCCAGACCCUGCAGAGCAAAUUGCCAGCAAAUGUUCAUUGAACACUUUAAAAAUCGAGGGGAAGAAGAGAGGGCUUGGAGGCAGCAUGUGGGGAGAGGUCAACCUCUAAAGUGCCAGCUCUCCAGAAAUGCAGCCGGACUGAAGGUUUGCAGGGAUGGUAGUGAAUGGAGCACUCCAGGCAGUGUGUGUGCUGAAUCUCAGGGCGGUUUUAGGAGCACUUCAGAGGCCUUUUUGACCAAGAUAUUCACGUUGGCCUGAGGUGAAACAACUCUUAAAAAGCUUUAUUUGAGGAGCCUGGCAGUCCUAUAAGGGGAAACCCACCUAUUACUUCAAGCAAAGCUGAUGCAGAGAGAUGAGCCAAUUGAGCAGGAGACAAUGUAAGCAGCUGUGGGGGUGUCGAGUACUCCCUCCUGCCUGUGGGAGCUGCACCGUGGAGUCUAGCUUGUCACCCUCUGGAGGCAGAGCCCCUCCUCCCUGCCUCCUCUUGGUCUAGAUGGACAGCCAUGGCAGCGGAGGCUGCAGAGCUGAGCAGGUGAUACUGGGCAGCGACCCUGCUGCGGGCAGGGUCCACACCCCACAGCUCUUUACUGCAUUUAUUUAACAAGCGACAUUGAGCCAGCAAUCUCUGCUGAAAAGUGCUCAGCCCUGUAGAGAGAACUGUGAACAACGUGGACACAGCUCCUGCUUUGUGGAGCUUGGUGUCUGGCUGGGGUAAAAAU